rnacentral:tRNA from 1 species
GGGGCUGUAGUAUAACCUGGCUAGAAUAGUCGGCUCCAGACCGUCGGAUCUGAGUUCAAAUCUCAGCAGCCCCA